CCUACGGGCGGCAGCAGUGGGGAAUAUUGGACAAUGGGGGCAACCCUGAUCCAGCCAUGCCGCGUGUGUGAAGAAGGCCCUCGGGUUGUAAAGCACUUUCAGUGAGGAAGAACGCCUGGUGGUUAAUACCCAUCAGGAAAGACAUCACUCACAGAAGAAGCACCGGCUAACUCCGUGCCAGCAGCCGCGGUAAUACGGAGGUUGCGAGCGUUAAUCGGAAUUACUGGGCGUAAAGCGCGCGUAGGUGGCUUGAUAAGCCGGUUGUGAAAGCCCCGGGCUCAACCUGGGAACGGCAUCCGGAACUGUCAAGCUAGAGUGCAGGAGAGGAAGGUAGAAUUCCCGGUGUAGCGGUGAAAUGCGUAGAGAUCGGGAGGAAUACCAGUGGCGAAGGCGGCCUUCUGGACUGACACUGACACUGAGGUGCGAAAGCGUGGGUAGCAAACAGGAUUAGAUACCCCUGUAGUC
rnacentral:rRNA from 1 species